UAGUGCAAUUACAUAUCUAGAUUUCCGGAGAAGAUCAUGUAUAGUUCCUUGUGCAGUUAUUUCUCUACGAGUUCUUGUUGUAAUUGGUGUGAAUGAAAAAUGGAGGGACACAACCUUUGAGCAAAAGACAUAUUGUUUUGGAAAAGGUGUGACUGUUCAGAUAGUUGUGUAUGUUCAGAAAAAGACACAAUGUUUCGAAUGAACAGACAUGACUCUUCCAAAGGAUACACCUUUUAAGUUAACCAUUUCCACCUUUCAGAAGAGGCAUCUGAUGGCUAUAUAAACCUGCUUUCAUCCACAGGUUUAGAAAUGAAUGAAAAAUUUUCUAAAAUAAAAACUCUUUUUGUCUUCAAAACAUUCUUUGUGAUCAAUCAAAUCAUUGAGUGAGUUCGACGAAUCCAAUUAUUUGAGGUAUCACUAUAGUUGGAUUGAAAGCCAUUUUAUCUAGGGAGAAAGAUUUCAAAACCUCAGGUACAGUGAGGGGAAUUAUUCCUUAAGGACAAUCCAUGAAGUCGGGGGACUUGGCUUUAUAUUUUUGUUUCAUCUUAAUUUCUGAAAAAAUAAAAAACACUUCUUCGAAUGAUCAGUCUGAUCUUGUGUUGAGGGUGUUUUUGUACUUCAUAGUGUUCUUGUUUUGAACUUGAACUAGUGUUGAAGUUGUUAUGCCUAAAUACAGAUUCUUGUACCCGAAUACAUCAUAAAAUAACAAUCCUGCAGAAUCUGUAUUGCUUGUUAUUGGAGAUUAAAGUUUUAAGCUUUCUACUUCGUUUGAACUUAACUAAUGAUUCGAAGACAUAAAAUCUUCAUCACAAGUUAAAGAUCAUUCGGUUGAUGAUUGGAAGUCAUAAAAACUUCAUCGUUAACUAGAAACAAGAAGAAGUGUUUAAAGUUGCUUAACUUUAUAAGUUGUAUUCUGAAAAUACUAAAUUUUAUUAUCUUGUGUUGACAGAAAAAUGAAUAACGAAAGUCAAAUGCAAGAUGUUGCAACGACUGUGGGAGCAACUGGUAUUGCCUCAACAAGUCGAGCAAAUGCUCCACAACCAAUGGCACCUGCGGAAAAGCCCAGAAAAUUUACGGGCAUUGACUUUAAGCGAUGGUAGCAAAAGAUGUUCUUUUACCUCACCACUCUAUGCCUUCAAAGGUUCACUAGUGAGGAUUCUCCUAAGGUUCUCGAGGGAACCUCGGACAAAGAGCAUUUCAUGAUUGUAGAAGCUUAGAAACACUCGGACUUCCUUUGUAAGAAUUAUAUAUUGAGUGGUCUCCAAGACGACCUCUACAAUGUUUACAGUGGAACUAAGACAUCGAAGGAAUUGUGUGGGGCACUAGAAAAAAAAUACAAGACAGAGGAUGCAAGAAUGAAGAAAUUCUUUGUUGGAAGGUUCUUGGACUUUAAAAUAAUAAAUAGCAAAUCAGUUGUCUCUCAAGUACAGGAAUUGCAAGUAAUCAUUCAUGAUUCGUAGAAGAAGGUUUGAUUGUGAAGGAUGCAUUUCAAGUAGCAGCGAUCAUUGAGAAGCUACCACCUAUGUUGAAAGACUUCAAAAACUACUCGAAGCACAAACGCAAGGAGAUGACUGUCAAAGAACCUAUUGUCCGACUACGUAUUAAAGAGAAUAAUAAGGCUAUCGAGAGAAGGUCAAAAGGAAAUUCUGCAAUUAAUGGAGCACAUAUUAUGGAAGAUGACCAAAUCAAUUCUAAGAAAAGGAAUAAAGUUUAACAAGGAAUAAAUCAACCCAAGAAGAAAUUCAAGGGAAAGUGCUUCAACUGUGGCAAAAUUGCCAUAAGUCCAAGGAUUGUCGUGCCCCUAUGAAAGGCUAGAAAAAGGACCAAGCUAAUAUGGUUGAGUCCAACAAAAAAUGUGAUGAUUUGUGUGUUAUGUUCUCAUAAUGCAACUUGGUGGGGAAUCCUCGUGAGUGGUGGAUGGAUUCUGGUGCCACCCGUCAUGUUUGUGCCAACAAAGAGUUGUUUUCGUCAUUCGCUCCUGCUCAAAUAGAAGAAAUGAUCUAUAUGGCUAACUCUGCUAUAGCUAAGGUAGAAGGAAUAGGAAAAGUGGGCUUGAAAAUGACAUCAGGAAAGGUCUUGACACUUAACAAUGCCUUGUAUGUUCCGGUGUUACGUAGGAACUUAAUUUCUGUUUACUUCUAGACAAGAACGGAUGCAAAUAUGUAACCGUUUCUAGAAAAAUUAUACUUAGCAAAGAAGAAGUGUGUGUAGAAAAAGGCUAUCUCAUUGAGGGACUUCAUAAGAUGAGUGUAAUGAAUGUUGAAAUAAAUAAAAGUUCAAAUUCUUCUUA